AUGGGGCGCGGCAAGGUGGAGCUGAAGCGGAUCGACAACAAGAUCAGCCGGCAGGUGACGUUCGCCAAGCGCCGCAACGGCCUGCUCAAGAAGGCGUACGAGCUGUCGCUGCUCUGCGACGCUGAGGUCGCGCUCAUCAUCUUCUCCGCCCGCGGCCGCCUCUUCGAGUUCUCCACAUCCUCACGCAUGUACAAGACUCUAGAACGGUACCGCAGCUGUAACUUCAACUCCGAGGCAACUGCAACUCCGGAGACCGAACUAAGCAACUACCAGGAGUAUUUAAAGCUAAAGACAAGAGUUGAGUUCCUACAGACAACUCAGAGAAAUCUUCUUGGCGAGGACUUGGGCCCACUUAACAUGAAGGAACUUGAGCAACUGGAGAACCAAAUUGAGAUCUCUCUCAAACAUAUCAGGGCGACAAAGAGCCAGCAGUCACUUGAUCAGCUCUUUGAGCUCAAGCGCAAGGAAAAACAACUGCAAGAUGUUAAUAAAGACUUACGAAAAAAGAUACAAGAAACUGGUGCGGAUAGUGUUCUACAGAUGUUUUGCCAGGAUGUUGGACCAAGUGGGUCUAGUGGCCAUGCUAAUCAAGCUAAUCAACAGGAGUAUUUUCAUCCUGAUUGUGACCCUUCCCUGCGUAUGGGGUAUGAUCAUGCUUACCUGGAUCACUUGAACAAGGAAUGA
rnacentral:rRNA from 1 species